AGGUGUGUUGGGAGGGCGGGGUGUCGUCCACACCUGUGUGCCCACGCCCUCUUCAUGUGGGCGGUGGGCUCUCUGAGUCCAGAUGUUUCAGGAAUCCUGAGGAGGACGGCUGUUUGACAGGGUCCAGGAGAAGACGGGUCCGAUGAGGGAGCUGAAGAUCAAUCACUUCCUGAGGUCAUAGAGCAAGCAGGUGGAAGAGCUACAACUCAAGCAUCUGUCCAUCCAUCCAUCCAUCCAUCCAUCCAUCCAUUCCACAAAUACUAAUUGAACACCCACUACAUGCUGGCUACCAGGGAUUCAUGUGAGAAUAAUAAAGAUGACAGUCCCUGCUCUGUGGAGACAAACACAACAAAAAGAAUAGUUGGAAUUAUAACUAUUAACAGAAUAGUUGGAAUUAUACCUGUGGCUCACAUAAUGUUUUUGUCCUGGCCCUGGCCAUUCCAGAGCUCUCAGGCGACUCGGGGAGCAGGGCACACAAUGGAGUAAUUGUAGUACCAUGAGGUUCUGCUCCAGAAUUAUACACUAGGGAACAAGAUGGACAAACCCUGUUCUCACAGAGCUGACUUGCAGGUGACAUUGCUCAGGACAAGGAAGAGAGAGAACAAAUCAAGGUUGGAGAGGUUGAGUAUCUCGGGUGAAGUCACACUCUGGUGAAUAGUACAGCCAGGAUUCCUUUUUAUUUAGUCCUGGGGAUUGAAGCCAGAGGGGCUCUACCACUAAGCUACAUCCCCAGCCCUUUUUACUUUUUAUUUUUGAGACAGGGUCUCGCUGAGUUGCUGAGGCUGGCCUUGAAAUUGAGAUCCUCCUGCCUCAGCCUCCAGGAUUCUAAUCCUGUUUCUGCUGCUAAUAGCAGUGCUCUUAUUGCCCCGCCAUGCUGCCCUGUGUCUGGCUAAGGAGUUUGGACUUUGUCUGAAAGUCACAGGCCAAGCAUUUGGGUAUCCGUGGCUCACUGUCUGUCUGCUACCCUAAUGAAGAAAGGGACUCUUGGUUCACUUCUUUAUCCUCAGUACCUAGAAUCAUAAUGGGCCAAGGAGGAAGCUGUCUUGUUUUUCAGUUUGAAGUUCAGGGCAGAGAAAACACGGUGGAUGGAAGGGCUGCCAGUCAUCCCGUUGCCCCGCCCCCUUCACAUGUACACAAAGGAAGGAGGAAAAGAGGGAACGUGCAAGGAACUUAGAGCUGAAAUCUCCAAAAGGAAUCAAGAAUGUCAGUGUUGGAGGGUCGUACAGAUCAUCUCCUCUCCCACUGGUUGUCCCCCUACUAUGGUGGAUACCCCAAUGGAUGCUCUUCCCCAGGGGACCCCUCUGCCAUCACAAUUACUAAAUGAAGGACAUAAGUGGCAGGAAAACUUAGUCUGGGUUAUUUCAGUGGAAUCCUGGUAGGUGACACCAAUUCUAUUAAUAAAAUUCUUGGAA